ensembl:lncRNA
UGGGACAUGAGACUGGCACUUGGUAACAGGCUGGUGACUGGCUUGGUCCAGUGGCCUGCUUUUGUUCUUUGAGGUCCUUCUGCCUCCCUCCACUGCCUGCCUUCCAAUUCCUCAAGAGGUUAGCAAAGUCAUUUGGGUUGGAGGGGACACAGGCAAGAGAUAUGACAUCCAAACAAACAAACAAACAAACAAACAAACAGGGUCUCAUGUAGCCCAGGCUAGUCUUGAAUGCAUAUAUAGCUAGGUCGAUAUUGAACUUCCAUUCUUCCUGCUUUUCCCUCCUGAUUGCCGGGGUUACAAGUGUGAGUCACCGUGUCUAAUUUAUUAAUACUGUCCUGGUCAUUGAACCUAGAGUCUUCUGCAUGCCAGGCAAGCACGCUACCAACCUGAGCUACAUCCUCAGCCCCAAAGAAUGUUCAUGUAUGUUUUUUGUGCACACAGAAGAACCAUUUCACAGAGAAAGGCUAUCAUCAGUCCUUUCUGCCUAUCCAGCUAGACACCAGUUUCUUCCAGGAAAAAGAAACAAAGAUAAAACAUGUAAAUUGAUCAGUCACAGAUGGACCUUGCUGAUCAACAUCACCUGCUUCUGGAGAAAGAUCCUUGUUUUAUUUGACUUUCAGGAAUGGGCAGAAAAGGCCACUGGAAAAAGAUUUGGUCUUUCUGCAUAUGGACAAAGGAUUCAUGGUUUUCUGAGGAGAGGACUAACAGAGAAGACUCCUGGCCUACUCUGGAUGGAUGUCCAGGAAUGGGCUGGGAAGAGGUUAGGGGUUGGUUCCUGUUGUGGCCCGGCAUGUCUCAGCCCCAAGCCACGGUAGCCAGGAGGUUCAGCCUGAGUGGGGGAGCAUGGACUUGGAAACUCUUAGCAACCUAAUGGCGAUAAAGACCAAACACAGGCAUCUUGUCAUCUUUAGAGAGCUCUCAGUUCCAUGCUGCAAAACUGGAGUCUGACAGCCUUCCACAACGAGACACUCAACUUUUACUGAGACACCUCCCUGAGAGGCCUUGAAGUAGACCACGCCCUCUUUGACUCUCAGUCACCCAGGGGAAGAUGGGAGCCACUUGGCAUUCAUCCAGACCCAGGAGUGAAUGGAGGAAACAUCUGGAGACCCUUCCUGUGUCCCUUGGAGAGACUGUGUAACAGUUGGCUCUAUUUGGGGCAUUUCAAGAUGUGUGGUGCAAGAGACACACCUCAGACUUCCAGAGGCAGAAGGCAAAGGUCAAGGUGCAGCCAGCCUCAGUACCCAGGAAGGCUCUUCGGGACAGACUAGCCCAUAUCAGCCUUUGCUGUUUCCUUUCUUAAUGGAGAUGGUGUAUCUUACCAGCUUCCCAUUCAAACAUACAGCAUGAGACGGGCGGGAUGACUCAGUGGAUAAGAGUGCUUGCUGCCAAGCCCGAUGACCUGUGUUCUACACAGCGAAAGGAGAAAACUAACUCUCCGGAUUUGUUCUCUGACCUCCACACAACACACAGAGAGAAAUAAAUGUAAUAAAAAACUUAAAAUAUAUGCAGUUCUUCCUUAUCUGCAGAGUAUCCAGUGGACAGGACCAAUUCUUUGUAUGUAAUGUGCUUUUGUCUUAUAUGAAAAUGCUAUGGGCUGGAGGAUAAGCCACUGCAUAGAGUGCUUGCGUAGCACACAAAAAGCCUUGGCUUUAAGUCCCAACACUGCAUAAAACUGAGAACAGCAACUCAAUGCCUAUAAGCCCUGAGGUCAAAGGUAGAGACAGGAGCAUCAGAAACUCAAGAUCAACCUUGGCUACUAUGUGAAUUCGAGGCCAGCCUGGAUUACAUGAGAUGAUGUCUCAAAG